rnacentral:rRNA from 1 species
AGCGAACGCUGGCGGCAGGCCUAACACAUGCAAGUCGAACGAACUCUUCGGAGUUAGUGGCGGACGGGUGAGUAACACGUGGGAACGUGCCUUUUGGUUCGGAAUAACUCAGGGAAACUUGUGCUAAUACCGAAUGUGCCCUUCGGGGGAAAGAUUUAUCGCCAUUAGAGCGGCCCGCGCCUGAUUAGCUAGUUGGUGAGGUAACGGCUCACCAAGGCGACGAUCAGUAGCUGGUCUGAGAGGAUGACCAGCCACACUGGGACUGAGACACGGCCCAGACUCCUACGGGAGGCAGCAGUGGGGAAUCUUGCGCAAUGGGCGAAAGCCUGACGCAGUCAUGCCGCGUGAAUGAUGAAGGUCUUAGGAUUGUAAAAUUCUUUCACCGGGGACGAUAAUGACGGUACCCGGAGAAGAAGCCCCGGCUAACUUCGUG